rnacentral:rRNA from 1 species
GAUGAACGCUCGCUGUGUGCCUAAUACAUGCAUGUUGAACGGGAUGUAGCAAUACAUUCAGUAGCGAAUGGGUGAGUAACACGUACCUAACCUACCUUUAAGACUGGGAUAACUAUUGGAAACAAUAGCUAAUACCGGAUAUAGUUAUUUAUCGCAUGAUGAGUAAUAGAAAGGAGCUUCACAGCUUCACUUAAAAAUGGGGGUGCGGAACAUUAGUUAGUUGGUAGGGUAAUGGCCUACCAAGACGAUGAUGUUUAGCCGGGCCGAGAGGCUGUACGGCCACACUGGGACUGAGAUACGGCCCAGACUCCUACGGGAGGCAGCAGUAAGGAAUUUUCCACAAUGAGCGAAAGCUUGAUGGAGCGACACAGCGUGCAGGAUGAAGUUCUUCGGAAUGUAAACUGCUGUUAUAAGGGAAGAAAAAAUAGAAUAGGAAAUGAUUUCAUCUUGACGGUACCUUAUUAGAAAGCGACGGCAAACUAUGUGCCAGCAGCUGCGGUAAUACAUAGGUCGCAAGCGUUAUCCGGAAUUAUUGGGCGUAAAGCGUCCGUAGGUUUUUUGCUAAGUCUGGAGUUAAAUGCUGAAGCUCAACUUCAGUCCGCUUUGGAUACUGGCAAAAUAGAAUUAUAAAGAGGUUAGCGGAAUUCCUAGUGAAGCGGUGGAAUGCGUAGAUAUUAGGAAGAACACCAAUAGGCGAAGGCAGCUAACUGGUUAUAUAUUGACACUAAGGGACGAAAGCGUGGGGAGCAAACAGG